rnacentral:tRNA from 1 species
GUUAAAAUAGCUCAAAAUUAGAGUUUUGCAUUGAAGCUGCAAAGGUGGCUAUGGUCUUUUAACA